UACGUAGGGGGCAAGCGUUGUCCGGAAUCAUUGGGCGUAAAGAGCGUGUAGGCGGCUCGGUAAGUCCGCUGUAAAAGUCCAGGGCUCAACCCUGGAAAGCCGGUGGAAACUGUCGAGCUAGAGUGCGGAAGAGGCGAGUGGAAUUCCUGGUGUAGCGGUGAAAUGCGCAGAUAUCAGGAGGAACACCUAUUGCGAAGGCAGCUCGCUGGGACGUAACUGACGCUGAGACGCGAAAGCGUGGGGAGCAAACAGG
rnacentral:rRNA from 1 species